AGCAAACAGGAUUAGAUACCCUGGUAGUCCACGCUGUAAACGAUGUCGACUUGGAGGUUGUGCCCUUGAGGUGUGGCUUCCGGAGCUAACGCGUUAAGUCGACCGCCUGGGGAGUACGGCCGCAAGGUUAAAACUCAAAUGAAUUGACGGGGGCCCGCACAAGCGGUGGAGCAUGUGGUUUAAUUCGAUGCAACGCGAAGAACCUUACCUGGUCUUGACAUCCACGGAAGUUUUCAGAGAUGAGAAUGUGCCUUCGGGAACCGUGAGACAGGUGCUGCAUGGCUGUCGUCAGCUCGUGUUGUGAAAUGUUGGGUUAAGUCCCGCAACGAGCGCAACCCUUAUCCUUUGUUGCCAGCGGUCCGGCCGGGAACUCAAAGGAGACUGCCAGUGAUAAACUGGAGGAAGGUGGGGAUGACGUCAAGUCAUCAUGGCCCUUACGACCAGGGCUACACACGUGCUACAAUGGCGCAUACAAAGAGAAGCGACCUCGCGAGAGCAAGCGGACCUCAUAAAGUGCGUCGUAGUCCGGAUUGGAGUCUGCAACUCGACUCCAUGAAGUCGGAAUCGCUAGUAAUCGUGGAUCAGAAUGCCACGGUGAAUACGUUCCCGGGCCUUGUACACACCGCCCGUCACACCAUGGGAGUGGGUUGCAAAAGAAGUAGGUAGCUUAACCUUCGGGAGGG
rnacentral:rRNA from 1 species